GCGUGGGUAGUUAAACGGUUAGAAUAUCUGGCUUCCACCCAGUUGAUCCGGGUUCGAUUCCCGGCCCUCGCA
rnacentral:tRNA from 1 species